rnacentral:rRNA from 1 species
UACGUAGGGCGCAAGCGUUGUCCGGAAUUAUUGGGCGUAAAGAGCUCGUAGGCGGCCUGUUACGUCUGCUGUGAAAUCCCGGGGCUUAACCCCGGGCGUGCAGUGGAUACGGGCAGGCGUGGAGGCAGGGCAGGGGAGAACGGAAUUCCCGGUGUAGCGGUGAAAUGCGCAGAGUAUCGGGAGGAACACCGGUGGCGAAGGCG